GUAAACAGACAUCUCCACCAAUAGCAUAUGGUGCUCAACCUAAUCAACCAUCCAAUAAUGCUCAUAUUGCUCAGACAGAAUAUGAUGAGUUCCUUCAGUAUCGUGCAAAUAAGCAAACGUCUCCACAAGUAGUUUCGGUUGCACAACCUGAUGUGUCUGUUGCGGGUAAUUCUUUUGCUUGUGUGUCGCAAUCUAGUACUCUUGGAACAUGGGUCAUGGACUCUGGGGCUUCUGAUCAUAUCUCUGGUAAUAAAUCACUUUUAUCCGAUAUUGUUUAUUCACAAUCUCUUCCAGCUAUUACUUUAGCCAAUGGGAUCCAAACAAAACCAAAAGGGGUUGGAAAAGCCAAACCCCUAUCUUCUGUCACCCUAGACUCUGUUCUUUAUGUCCCUGGUUCUCCUUUUAAUCUAGCAUCUGUUAGUCGUUUGACGAAAGCCCUACAUUGUAGCAUAACUUUUUUCGAUGAUUUUUUUCUCAUGCAGGACCGCAGUACGGGACAGAUGAUUGGAACAGGACAUGAAUCACAAGGCCUUUACUAUCUUACCUCUUCAAAUUCCUUAACAGCAUGCUCCGUUACAGAUUCCCCAGAUCUAAUUCACAAACGUUUGGGACAUCCNNNNNNCUUCUGAUCAUGUUUCUGGUAACAAAUCACUUCUGUCAGAUAUUGUUUAUUCACAAUCUCUUCCUGCUAUUACUUUGGCCAAUGGGAUACGAACAAAACCAAAAGGGGUUGGAAAAGCCAAACCCGUAUCUUCUGUCACCCUAGACUCUGUUCUUUAUGUCCCUGGUUCUCCUUUUAAUCUAGCAUUUGUUAGUCAUUUGCCGAAAGCCCUACAUUGUAGCAUGACUUUUUUCGAUGAUUUUUUUCUCAUGCAAGACCGCAGUACGGGACAGAUGAUUGGAACAGGACAUGAAUCACAAGGCCUUUACUAUCUUACCUCUUCAAAUUCCUUAACAGCAUGCUCCGUUACAGAUUCCCCA
rnacentral:lncRNA from 1 species